rnacentral:rRNA from 1 species
GCAUAUCAAUAAGCGGAGGAAAAGAAACCAACAGGGAUUGCCUCAGUAACGGCGAGUGAAGCGGCAAAAGUCCACCUUUGAAGUAUUGACGUGGUUGGGAGAGGUUAUUGCACAAGUCGCCUGGAACGGCCGCCAAAGAGGGUGAUAGCCCCGUAGCAUACAACCAAUCUUCCCAGCCGACAGAGUCGAGUUGUUUGGGAAUGCAGCUCUAAAGGUGGUAGGGUCCAUCAAAGACUAAAUAUCAGCGAGAGACCGAUAGCAAACAAGUACAGUGAUGGAAAGAUGAAAAGAACUUUGAAAAGAGAGUGAAACAGUGCGUGAAAUUGGGGGGAGGGAAGGCAAGGCCACGACAGUGGUCCUGCGCCCCGUCUUGAAACACGGACC